rnacentral:misc_RNA from 1 species
AAAGUCGUAACAAGGUUUCCGUAGGUGAACCUGCGGAAGGAUCAUUACCAAUCCAACCUUACAAACAACUGUGCACCUGUUUAUGUCCUUGGGAGGAGGUGAGGCAAGCAAAGUUAAUUCUGCGCCUGCUGAACGCCUCCCAAACGUUUUAAACAACUUGUUAAACAAUUUUGUUGACAAACUUUUCUGCGGCUUCCAAGCUCAGAAAUAUUGCAAACAAAAUACAACUUUUAACGGUGGAUCUCUUGGCUCAU